rnacentral:rRNA from 1 species
GACGAACGCUGGCGGCGUGCUUAACACAUGCAAGUCGAACGGAAAGGCCUUUUCGGCGGUACUCGAGUGGCGAACGGGUGAGUAACACGUGGGUGAUCUGCCCUGCACUCUGGGAUAAGCCUGGGAAACUGGGUCUAAUACCGGAUAGGACCGCACUUUAGUGUGUGUGGUGGAAAGUUUUUUCGGUGUAGGAUGAGCCCGCGGCCUAUCAGCUUGUUGGUGGGGUAAUGGCCUACCAAGGCGGCGACGGGUAGCCGGACUGAGAGGUUGGUCGGCCACAUUGGGACUGAGAUACGGCCCAGACUCCUACGGGAGGCAGCAGUGGGGAAUAUUGCACAAGGGGCGCAAGCCUGAUGCAGCGACGCCGCGUGGGGGAUGACGGCCUUCGGGUUGUAAACUCCUUUCGCCAGGGACGAAGCGUUUUGUGACGGUACCUGGAGAAGAAGCACCGGCUAACUACGUG